CACUGUUUAGACCCAAUAGUUAUAUAUAUACCUGUUCACAAUUUGAAAGCGCAUCCUUACGUGAAUCGAGUACCGAUCAUAAAUGAACCAUAAAAGAAGAUAGGCUAAUGAUAAAAAUGAGUACAAAACUCCGAUACGAAUCGCAAAAUGCAGAUUUUUUCCAGCCUUGGGGUAGAGAUUAUCCCUAAGUUGUAGUCAGCACUUUAUAGCGGAUGUUCCACAAACUUGGGUUCGAUGUCCGACCGACAGCUACCGACCUAAGAAAUAUCUGGACUACACAAUAUUCUUCACUCAUAGCACGUACGGUAGCCGCCCAGGACAUAAUUACGGCGGCUCUGUCUCUUCUAACCCUUAACCAUCGAUCAAAUGCGUUCUGCAGUAGAUCCUCUAUAUACUGCUCUUCGAUAAUAUUCAGCCUACAGUAAAAAUUAGGCCAGAGGGGUGCCUACACGAAGAAAGUUUAAUUGUAAAUUACACGAUUCGCAAAAUCGGCCAAUCGUAAUUUAUUUUUGCUCUUUUCUUCUAUAGAAAUUCUUAAAAUUAAAUAAUACUCUAAAAACCUAAGAGAUAAAAAUCACAUUUUAACAAUCGACCGUCACACUUUUUUUGAUGCCAAGUUUUAGAACUUUCUCCUAAUUUAUGCUUAGAAUUAUGAAAUCGGGAUAAGAAAGGAGUGUUUCUAACUUAGGUUAUUUGCGG
rnacentral:lncRNA from 1 species